AGAGUUUGAUCAUGGCUCAGAUUGAACGCUGGCGGCAGGCCUAACACAUGCAAGUCGAGCGGUAGCACAGAGAGCUUGCUCUCGGGUGACGAGCGGCGGACGGGUGAGUAAUGUCUGGGAAACUGCCUGAUGGAGGGGGAUAACUACUGGAAACGGUAGCUAAUACCGCAUAACGUCGCAAGACCAAAGUGGGGGACCUUCGGGCCUCAUGCCAUCAGAUGUGCCCAGAUGGGAUUAGCUAGUAGGUGGGGUAACGGCUCACCUAGGCGACGAUCCCUAGCUGGUCUGAGAGGAUGACCAGCCACACUGGAACUGAGACACGGUCCAGACUCCUACGGGAGGCAGCAGUGGGGAAUAUUGCACAAUGGGCGCAAGCCUGAUGCAGCCAUGCCGCGUGUGUGAAGAAGGCCUUCGGGUUGUAAAGCACUUUCAGCGGGGAGGAAGGCGUUAAGGUUAAUAACCUUGGCGAUUGACGUUACCCGCAGAAGAAGCACCGGCUAACUCCGUGCCAGCAGCCGCGGUAAUACGGAGGGUGCAAGCGUUAAUCGGAAUUACUGGGCGUAAAGCGCACGCAGGCGGUCUGUCAAGUCGGAUGUGAAAUCCCCGGGCUCAACCUGGGAACUGCAUUCGAAACUGGCAGGCUAGAGUCUUGUAGAGGGGGGUAGAAUUCCAGGUGUAGCGGUGAAAUGCGUAGAGAUCUGGAGGAAUACCGGUGGCGAAGGCGGCCCCCUGGACAAAGACUGACGCUCAGGUGCGAAAGCGUGGGGAGCAAACAGGAUUAGAUACCCUGGUAGUCCACGCUGUAAACGAUGUCGAUUUGGAGGUUGUGCCCUUGAGGCGUGGCUUCCGGAGCUAACGCGUUAAAUCGACCGCCUGGGGAGUACGGCCGCAAGGUUAAAACUCAAAUGAAUUGACGGGGGCCCGCACAAGCGGUGGAGCAUGUGGUUUAAUUCGAUGCAACGCGAAGAACCUUACCUGGUCUUGACAUCCACAGAACUUAGCAGAGAUGCUUUGGUGCCUUCGGGAACUGUGAGACAGGUGCUGCAUGGCUGUCGUCAGCUCGUGUUGUGAAAUGUUGGGUUAAGUCCCGCAACGAGCGCAACCCUUAUCCUUUGUUGCCAGCGGUUAGGCCGGGAACUCAAAGGAGACUGCCAGUGAUAAACUGGAGGAAGGUGGGGAUGACGUCAAGUCAUCAUGGCCCUUACGACCAGGGCUACACACGUGCUACAAUGGCAUAUACAAAGAGAAGCGACCUCGCGAGAGCAAGCGGACCUCAUAAAGUAUGUCGUAGUCCGGAUUGGAGUCUGCAACUCGACUCCAUGAAGUCGGAAUCGCUAGUAAUCGUAGAUCAGAAUGCUACGGUGAAUACGUUCCCGGGCCUUGUACACACCGCCCGUCACACCAUGGGAGUGGGUUGCAAAAGAAGUAGGUAGCUUAACCUUCGGGAGGGCGCUUACCACUUUGUGAUUCAUGACUGGGGUGAAGUCGUAACAAGGUAACCGUAGGGGAACCUGCGGUUGGAUCACCU
rnacentral:rRNA from 1 species